rnacentral:lncRNA from 1 species
UGGUAGUGAAAUCGUGCGAGUGGACAGAGAAAACUCAGAUUCUUUGAGUGGAGAGAGAAAACUGUGUUCGUGAAUUGGGAGAUAUUUGUGAAUUGUGUGUGUGUUUUUAGGUGUGAAUUAUGAGUGGACAUUUUUUUAAUUUUUAAUGUGAAGGGCAUUUUGGUAAUAGUGGACAUUUUUUAAGUUUUUUAUUUUAGUGGACAUUUUUUAUUUUUACAAUAUGAAAGUGGCCAUUUUAAAAAUCUACUCUAAAUAUAAAGUUUUAGUAUAUCAUGAAUAUGCAAAGCACAUAGUAAACUUUAAAUCACUAAAGCAAUACGAAUAAGUCAAAUCACAUUCACACAUUGCACAUAUUCACCUUAGCAAACUAAGCCAUACUUGAAAAACUUUAUAUAAGCAAUAGCACACAUG